AUUGAACGCUGGCGGCAUGCCUUACACAUGCAAGUCGAACGGUAACAGGUCUUCGGAUGCUGACGAGUGGCGAACGGGUGAGUAAUACAUCGGAACGUGCCCGAUCGUGGGGGAUAACGAAGCGAAAGCUUUGCUAAUACCGCAUAAGAUCUACGGAUGAAAGCAGGGGACCGCAAGGCCUUGCGCGAACGGAGCGGCCGAUGGCAGAUUAGGUAGUUGGUGGGAUAAAAGCUUACCAAGCCGACGAUCUGUAGCUGGUCUGAGAGGACGACCAGCCACACUGGGACUGAGACACGGCCCAGACUCCUACGGGAGGCAGCAGUGGGGAAUUUUGGACAAUGGGCGAAAGCCUGAUCCAGCCAUGCCGCGUGCAGGAUGAAGGCCUUCGGGUUGUAAACUGCUUUUGUACGGAACGAAAAGACUCUGGUUAAUACCUGGGGUCCAUGACGGUACCGUAAGAAUAAGCACCGGCUAACUACGUGCCAGCAGCCGCAGUAACAC
rnacentral:rRNA from 1 species